rnacentral:rRNA from 1 species
UACGUAGGGGGCUAGCGUUGUCCGGAAUCAUUGGGCGUAAAGAGCGUGUAGGCGGCCCGGUAAGUCCGCUGUAAAAGUCAAAGGCUCAACCUUUGAAUGUCAGUGGAUACUGCCGGGCUAGAGUCCGGAAGAGGAGAGUGGAAUUCCUGGUGUAGCGGCGAAAUGCGCAGAUAUCAGGAAGAACACCAAUUGCGAAGGCAGCUCGCUGGGACGUUACUGACGCUGAGACGCGAAAGCGUGGGGAGCAAACAGG